UUUUUUUCUUUUCUGUUUUGUCCUUUUUCUUUUUAUUUAUCUUUUCCUUUACUCUUUUCUCUUAUUUUCUAAAUAUUUUAGUUUUGGUAAAAUACAAAAGUUGUACCUAAUUUAGUAUAUUUAAUUAUGUCACAUUCCGAACAUUUUAGUUUUAGCGUUUGAAAACUUUUGAUGUUUGCCUUUAACAAAAAUUUGAAUCAUUUUGAACUAACACGAGAUUAACAACAGUAACCGCGAUGACAUGGCAUCAUUAACUGGGAAUUACUGUAGCUUAAAUAUCCGGGCGUCACAAUUCUCCUCCACUACAAGAAAUCUCGUCCCGAGAUUUAAGAGGGGAAGUGCGGGGCAGGGAUUUGGUUACGAAAUUCUAACGAGCGUACUUGAUCUUGGUUGCUCUUCUCGAAGCGGUCGAUCCGUUACAUUGAUGUCUUCAUUUCUCUUCUUCAGGUCAUCAUGAUCAAGUCGGCAUCCUUUCUUCAGGAACUCCAUCAUACUUACGAAAGAAUAACAUGUGGGUAUUCCGGAAAAACCUAUCUCUGCAAUGUUGACUAUCUAGUCGAUAGCAUCGGGGAAGGUGGCCGAAAGUAACUCUCGAAUUGAAACUUAAGAAAAUAUCGAGAGCAAGGUAAGAAGGUGCAAUAAGAAGUUUCAAGCAGAUAGACAAUCAUUUGUUGCCUAAAACAGAGUGUGAAAGGGGUUCAGAGCAAUGGGCAUAAGUAUUGUUUCGGAUACCAGAAUUGAUCACUAGGAAUGUGGUCCGUGAAUUACAUACGAGGCCACGCACGAGGAACAACCUUGCGAACAGGGGGUGUACAGGAGAGUCAGGUUUCGAUCCUGUGGAACUGUGGGUUAUGGGCCCACCAUGUGGGCUAAUAGUAGGAAGAUGGGUGACGUCUUGCACGAUCAUGUAAGCAAGGCAUGCCAGAGAAUAACCGGUCAGGUUAUGUUGACAGCAUCGUUGGUACCAAGGGCGAGGGACGAAGAUAACCAUUUUCCUGCUCGUUGAACGAGCGGACCAAUAGGCAAAGUUCUCGUCCAUCGGUGGCUCUACCAGAAUGUCAUCAACAAUAGUAAGAGGGUCUUGCUGAUAGAAUUGUACAACGAGGUGUUUACAUAAGCAGGAGAAUAUUACUGCUUAGAUCAUAUGGAUCACAAGAAAGGUUAAACCAAACAAUGGAAAGGAAAAUAUGAUUAUCAGAUUAAACAGAACAAUGGAAAGGAAAUUGUGUUAAAACACAUAUUUCAGGGGUAUUUCCUUCCCAAGGACAAACAGAGUAUGAUAUCCGUGACAGGAUAUAAUGUAGAAAACCCUCUAGGUAGGGGGAGAGAAAUUUUCAUGACAUUACCCGUACAACGGUGUUUGGAUAAUUGAGCAAGAAACAAUUAGCAUUGGGAUAAGUGUUCUUGUUGAAAAUCGGAGUACCACAGACAUGCUUCGAGAUAGCAUUGACAUGGUCUUCGAGCAAGGUCGGACUUGGAUACACAAAGAAUUCAUCAGGAACAACUUAUAGAAUAAGUCUUAUAAUUUCCUCAUGGAAGAAUGGUUAACCUUGCUAAAAAGGAAACUAUAAUAAAAGGUCCUCUGGCUAGGGGUGUUAAGCAAAGACACCACCUUACCGGGUUAUGUAGAGGCCAAUGUUAUAACUUUUGGAAAUAUGUCCCAGCCAUCAUCUGACCAAGAUUCAGAUCUGAUUGGUGUCAGGAUACCUCAGACAUCAGGAUGCCUGAGAAGAAAAGGUGCAACACAAUUUGACGAGAUGACAUUGUGAGAUUCUCGGAAAUGAUCUAGGGAAGCGAGUUCUAAAACUAGAGUUCAUCAUUAAACCAAGGAGAGGAUGAGGGGGUGGCUGAUGAACUAAACGACAAUUCAUCGAGAUUUCCAAAAGAUGGAUUUCCACAAUCAUGUGAACAAGGAAUAACAAUUUUCAGAUCAAAUGAUAUAAAGAUGUAUGCUGGAGGAAAACAUACACAUCUAGACAUUGUUUGAAAGGUGCACCCGAAAUAUGGGCUCAGGUAGCAUGAUCAAUGUUAGAAUGGUGAUUCGAUAACCAAUGGUCUAAGACUGAAAUAUCGACCAUUAACAUCAAAGCAAUAGGGUUGCUAGAAGUUUUGAAGUCGCACAAUCAUAGUUCAAUUGUCGGGUUUUUUUCUGUCAGAAACAACACGGGGACCAAGGAAUGAACGGAUAUGGUAGGAAGUAUCACCUGUAUAAAGAAUUCUUAAGAGGUGGUGAAAUUCUCACGACAUUCUUGACACAAAAGAUGGUAAUACUCCAAGGUAAGGUGAACAAAUGUUGGAUAGCAAGGAUCUCAAGGUAUACACAAAACACGAACAAGUUUGUGUUGAAUGGAAGGCAAUAAAGUGGUCGAUGAUAGCACCAAUCAUUGAGGGCAAGGAUGUUAUUUCUCAUCAUGAAUUCAAUUGAUAUCUUGGAAGACCUCAGAAUGUUGAUGAUGAUCACGACACAUUUGUCGAGAGGUUUCAAGAAGAUGUAACCGAUCGGCGAUGACAUCAUGUUAACGGAAUAAUGAAGCGGAAAGUUAUUGAAACCAUGGGUACUACACAAACUCGAAAUCAAGCUUGUUGUUCAGGGACAAAUGGUAUGACGAGGAAGAUCGACGUAAGAUUAGCUCACCGUCGUAGCACAGUUAAAAUCGGCACGACAAGGAUAUAGCCAAGCAGGCUAGGAAUGCCGUGAUCGAGUUCAAACUCGUAAGUAAUGAAGGUUAUCAAGAGUUGUUUAAUCGUGGUGCGGACUCGAGUCAGUUAUCGGUGUCUUUGAGUGUUUAAUAACUCAGAGCCCAUGAAAAAUUGGAAUCAGUGAGAAUGUAGCACUUGAUGAAGAACUCAUAAGAAGUUAUGCAGUUCCAUGAUAAUCUCGAGAUACCAGGGGGGUAAUACUCGACGACAGAUCAAAGUAGAGGUUGGACUAGGGUAUUGCUCUGCAGAAGACAAGUGCUCAAACUUGCACGAGAAAUGGAAUCAAGGAGAAACAUGGUCGGAACCACGUCCACAGAUACAGGAUGAACUUAUAACAAGGGGAUAAUUAUUUUAAGAGAAGCUUCCGUGAUAAGGUAUACAUCGUGUCCAUGGGCAUGAACACAGGGUUCAAGGUCGACUGCCACUUGUUCACCGCAUAACCUUUCAUUCACCUCUCAUAUUUCGAAAAUGACAUUAGUUGUUGAAAGUUUUUACCUGGUGCAAUACCAGAUAAGUAUGACCCGUGAAAUCUUUCGGGUUCACACAGAUUAGGGAAGGCGUAGGUUCAACCCAUCAGGGCAUCUUAGGAACAUAUACCACAAACUUCGGAGUAAAUAAUACAAGCUCGAAAGUAGAGCAUGGUUCACAAAGCAGAGGAUACAAUUUACCAAAGGCAUUAUAUACCCAUGGAAAGGCUCACAAGGUUAUUCAAUAUGAAAGACACUGUCGGAUAAAAUCCAUCAAAGGAACCGAUGGUCCUCAAGGGAUCUGAUGUGAGCAUCGGUACUCAACCAGAGGAAGAAGAAUGCAAGGAGAUCUGAUUAUAGAAACAACUGACUAAUUCAAAGCUCAAAUGCAAAAGGAUUAUGAUUUCCAAAUCAAGGGAUCAGAAGCAACACUCUAAUCAAGGAUGGAUAAGUUGAGUAGGCUUAGGGGUACAAUCGAUGGCAAUUUGAUUGGUCAAGAUUGAGCUCAUGAUUAAAAUGACAUCUGAGUCAAAAGGAUGAAUUCUAGGAUCUGAUUAAGGAUUGCAACAUUCGCAACAUAUUGAAUCAAGGGACCCAAGAUGAUAAAGGCAAAGGACAUCCAUGAAUAUUGCUAGCCAUUUGGAAUUAACCAAAAUGCAGGCAGACAAGCAUUUCAAGAGCCAUAGGCUAAUGAGGAUUCUCGAAAGAUCGGAUAGUAUUUCGAAGAAUUUUGUGAAACACAUGAACAACUGGGGAUGAGCGGAUACUCGGUAAGAGCGAGGAAUUAUCCGUAGGGGUAUUCAGGUGGCAAAGAACUGCAAGGCAGUAGGCACAAAGUAUUCUCGGAACAAUAGAGAGAAUUUCGAUGUAUCUUGUAAUAACAGGAUCAACUGGGGAUGAAUGUAUGAAUGACAAGUGUAUGUGGUUAUCCAUAGAGGUUUAUCGAUGGAUGGGAAUUACAAAAGCGAUGGCACAAAGUCUCGAGAGAACAUCGUAGAGUAUCCUCGGAAUCUUCUGGUGCAGUAGACGAUCAUGGGUAAUAAGAUGCCCUCCGGGUGAAAGUGAUCACGAGAUCCUAAUGUUAGAUUUAGCAAAAUUAAUUUAAUCCGAAUAGAAGAGAGAUUAGAAUCUCAGAGUAUAGACGAGGAAUAAAAGAUCCUAAUACCACCCAAUGGCGACGUGGGCCCAUGGGCCGCACAGCCAUGUUAGUAAAAGUUUUGUAAAGUCUAGACUCGACUUCGGCCAAGGAGUGUGGAAGGGGAUUCCUACAGGCAGUCGGCUCUAAUACCAACUUCUGACGCCACCGAUUCAAUCGUACACUAAUCAUGCAUGCAAACGUGUACGAUCAAGAUCACGGACUCACGGGAAGAUAUCACAACAAGACUCUAAAAAUAAAAUAAGUCAUACAAGCAUCAUAAUACAAGCCAGGGGCCUCGAGGGCUCGAAUACAAGUGCUCGAUCAUAGAAGAGUCAGUGGAAGCAACAAUAUCUGAGUACAGACAUAAGUUAAACAAGCUUGCCUUAAGAAGGCUAGCACAAACUGGGAUACAGAUCAAAAGAGGCGCAGGCCUCCUGCCUGGGAUCCUCCUAAACUACUCCUGGUCGUCGUCAGCGGCCUGUACAUAGUAGUAGGCACCUCCGGUGUAGUAGGAGUCGUCGUCGACGGUGGCGUCUGGCUCCUGGGCUCCAGCCUCUGGUUGCGACAACCGAGAGGAAAGGAAAGGGGAAAAGAAGGGGGAAAGCAACCGUGAGUACUCAUCCAAAGUACUCGCAAGCAAGGAUCUCCACUACAUAUGCAUGGGUAUCUGUAUAAAUGGGCAAUAUCGGUGGACUGAAUUGCAGAAUGCCAGAAUAAGAGGGGGAUAGCUAAUCCUAUCGAAGACUACGCUUCUGGCAGCCUCCAUCUUGCAGCAUGUAGAAAAGAGUAGAUGGUAAGUUCACCAAGUAUCAUCGCAUAGCAUAAUCCUACCCGGCGAUCCUCUCCUCGUCGCCCUGUGUGAGAGCAAUCACCGGGUUAUAUCUGGCACUUGGAAGGGUGUGUUUUAUUAAGUAUCCGGUUCUAGUUGUCAUAAGGUCAAGGUACAACUCCGGGUCGUCCUUUUACCGAGGGACAUGGCUAUUCGAAUAGAUAAACUUCCCUGCAAGGGUGCACCACAUUACCCAACACGCUCGAUCCCAUUUGGCCGGACACACUUUCCUGGGUCAUGCCCGGCCUCGGAAGAUCAACACGUCGCAGCCCUACCUAGGCUUAACAGAGAGGUUAGCAUGCUGGUCUAAAUCCUAUGCGCGCAGGGGUGUAGGCUCAUCGCCCAUUGCACACCUGCACGUUGCGAACGCGGCCGGAAGCAGACCUAACCCCCUUAACACAAGCGCAGGCUUACGGUCCAAUCUGGCGCGCGCUGCUCAGUCGCUAAUGUCAAGAAGGCUUCGGCUGAUACCACGACGUCGAGUGCCCAUAACUGUUCCCGCGUAGUUGGUUAGUGCGUAUAGGCUAGCGGCCAAACUCAGAUCAAAUACCAAGAUCUCGUUAAGCGUGUUAAGUAUCCACGAAUGCCGACCAGGUCCAGGCCCACCUCUCUCCUAGGUGGUCUCAACCUGCCCUAUCGCUCCGCCACAAAGUAACAGUCGGGGGCCGUCGGGAACCCAGGCCCACCUCUACCGGGAUGGAGCCAUCUGCCCCUUCAGCCCCCAUCUCCGAACAGUAUCAUAAGUAAUGUAACAGUAUCAAGUAUAUAGCAUAUGCCCGUGAUCACCUCCCGAAGUGAUCACGGCCCAGUAGUAUAGCAUGGCAGACGGACAAGAGUGUAGGGCCACUGAUGGAAUUCUAGCAUCCUAUACUAAGCAUUUAGGAUUGCAGGUAAGCGUAACAACUAUAGCAACAAUGAAAGGAGAUGCAGCAGAAUAGGAUUAACCGAAAGCAGUAACAUGCUACACUACUCUAAUGCAAGCAGUAGAGAGAAGGAAUAGGCGAUAUCUGGUGAUCAAGGGGGGGGGGGCUUGCCUGGUUGCUCUGGCAAGUAGGGAUCGUCAACAGCAUAGUAGGUCGAGGCACCAGCAGCGGCGUCGGUCUCGUAGUCUACCGGAGAGAAGAGGGGGAAGAAACAAUGAAUACAAUGCAAACAGAUGCAUAACGAUGCAUGACAAAGCAAACAGCGGUGUUAGGUGUGCCCUAACGCGGUAAGAGGUGAUACCGCGAAGAGGAGAAACAUCUGGGAAAGUAUCCCCGGUGUUUCGCGUUUUUAGGCAGAUGAAACGAAGGGGGAAAGUUGCGUGUUCGAUAUGCUAGGGGUGUGUGGUGGACGAACGGGCUGUGUAUUCGAAUUCGUCUCGUCGUUCUGAGCAACUUUUAUGUACAAAGUAUUUUCGUCCAAGUUACGGAUUAUUUUAUAUUAAUUUAAAAAAGAUUUAAUCAUUUUCAGGAAUUAACAGAUUUAAUUUAAAUCAAAAUUAGGUUUACUGCAUCAGCAUGUCAUCGGCAUGACAUCAGUUGUCAAAGUUGACCGUUGACCAGUCAGCUGACGUGCGGGUCCCGAUGUCAUAGGCUGAUCACUAAUUAACAUUAUUUAGUUUAAUUAACAGGUUAAUUAAAUUUGAGUUAAUUAACCUAAAUUAAGUAAUUAAUUAAUUAUAUAUGUUCCAUCUUUUUCUUUUCGUUUCUGGGGCAGGCCCCACUGGUCAUUGACCCUGAGGGGGCCUUAGCGAGCGUGUGGGCGUUGCGGGUCCGGGCAUAGGGCGCUGCGGGCAAGGCGCCCGUCGGGGCGGGCACGGGCGUGUGAGCGGCAAGCGGGGAGAGACAGCGCGACGUGGGGAAGGGGGCGGCCAGGGGCAGCGGUGGCGGACGCCGGUGGAGCCGCAAGCGGCGGCGUGUGGGGAGGCGCAGGGUGUGGGCGAGGCACAAGCGCGGCCCUGGGCCAGCAUGCGGCAGGAGUCGCGACUCGGGGCGGGCGGCGCGGGCGGAGCACGACCACGGUGGCCUUGGGCGCAGGGAGGUGGUGUGGAGCGGGGGGCACGUCGAGCGUGGCUCAGUCGGGCGGCCACGGACGCGCAGCGAUGGGCAUGGCGAGGACGGGCGACGGUGGCGGACGGGUGUGGUGCGGCGAACGACAUAGAGACGGAGGGAAGGGGGCAUCGAGGGCGCGCUCACCGGGCCCUGUAGGCGUGCAACAACGUGCUCGGGGAGGGCUCGACAAUGGCAUGCGCCAGCGAUGGGGACGGCGUCCUCGGGCGCGAGUAGAUCCGCCAAGGGAGAGGGAGGUGGGAGCGCGAGGUGGCGGACGCCCGAGCCAGUGAGGACGACGACGUGCGCGUCGGGGGCAAUGAGGUUAAGGCGGUGAUGGGACUCGGGGUUGGGCGGCGUCGUGUGGCAGAGUGGCCGAGGCGGAGGCGCUUCGGGCGGCGGCGGCGUUUGAGCCCGAUCUCGAUUGGAUCGGGGAGAGGGAGAGUGGGGAGUGCAAGUGAGGGAAUGGGAGGAGUGGGGCGUCGUGUGGGCUAGGGUUAUGGGGGUACAGGGGGUUAAGGGAGUAAGGGAGGCCGACCUGGGCCGGUUGGUUUGGCGGCCAGCUGGGCCGUUCGGCCCAGUUGGCCAGGGCGGUUUCCUCUUUCUUUUUUUCUUUUUUUUCUUUUUUGUUUUGUCCUUUUUCUUUUUUUAUCUUUUCCUUUACUAUUUUCUCUUAUUUUCUAAAUAUUUUAGUUUUGGUAAAAUACAAAAGUUGUACCUAAUUUAGUAUAUUUAAUUAUGUCACAUUCCGAACAUUUUAGUUUUAGCGUUUGAAAACAUUUGAUGUUUGCCUUUAACUAAAAUUUGAAUUUGAAUCGUUUUGAACUAACACGAGAUUAACAACAGUAACCGCGAUGACAUGGCAUCAUUAACAGGGAAUUACUGUAGCUUAAAUAUCCGGGCG
rnacentral:lncRNA from 1 species